rnacentral:rRNA from 1 species
AUGAACGCUAGCGACAGGCCUAACACAUGCAAGUCAGGGGCAGCACAAGGAGCAAUCUGAGGUGGCGACCGGCGGCACGGGUGAGUAACACGUAUGCAACCUGCCUGUAAGCGGGGAAUAACCCGUUGAAAGACGGACUAAUACCGCAUAAUACUAAAUUACUGCAUGGUAAUUUAUUUAAACAUUUAUGGCUUACAGAUGGGCAUGCGCAUGAUUAGCUAGUUGGAGAGGUAACGGCUCCCCAAGGCAACGAUCAUUAGGGGUUCUGAGAGGAAGGUCCCCCACACUGGUACUGAGACACGGACCAGACUCCUACGGGAGGCAGCAGUGAGGAAUAUUGGUCAAUGGACGAGAGUCUGAACCAGCCAAGUCGCGUGCAGGAAGAAUGUUCCCUAUGGAUUGUAAACUGUCUUUUGCAGGGGAAUAAAGUGCAUCACGUGUGAUGUUUUGUAUGUACUCUGCGAAUAAGGAUCGGCUAACUCCGUGCCAGCCGCGGC